UAGGGGAANCUUCCACAAUGGACGAAAGUCUGAUGGAGCAACGCCGCGUGAGUGAAGAAGGGUUUCGGCUCGUAAAACUCUGUUGUUAAAGAAGAACAUAUCUGAGAGUAACUGUUCAGGUAUUGACGGUAUUUAACCAGAAAGCCACGGCUAACUACGUGCCAG
rnacentral:rRNA from 1 species